GUCCAAUCCGCUCCGCGUGCUCGCACCGUACCCAAUCCCAUCCUCUCCCCUGGUCGUCCCGAUCCACCCCAGCCGCCGCACAACCCUAGCCCCUUUCCCCUCGAUCCCCAUAGCCCCUCCCUCCUCCUUGCUCUCCGCCAUGGCCUCUGCACUAGGAGCCUCUCCAUGGCCUCCUACCCAUCCCCCCACCACCAUAGGUGCACACAGACGGUGGAUCCGUGCCGGAGAAGAGCAGCUCCAGUUAUGGUGGGGUGCAUCUGUGCCGAAGAUGAAGGAGGUCCGCCGCCCGUCUUUGCCUCCUCGCUGCCUCCUUGUUGCUGCUCCUCCUCUAUCUCUCUCCGCACCUAGCAGUGCAGCAGCCGGGACAAGGGGAAGGAGCAGCCCGACCCGGCUCCAUCUCUCUCCUUCAUGCAGGAGAACUGGAUGAGCAGGUGGCGAGGGAAGCUGCCACGGCUAGCGGCGGCGCUGCACAGGAACGUCCACCUCCAGGGACCAGAUCUUGGCUAUGAUCUAUGAUGCUGAUUUGGCUAUCAACUGCUAAAUCUACGAAUCAUUCAAAAUGUUUUGCCUAACUGCACAAGCCUUGCAUAUGACCACUGGGCCAUGUCUUUUGUGAGCCCCCAUAAUUCUUUUGUUCUAUUGAUGUUUUGCCUAACUGCACAAGCCUUGCAUAUGACCACUGGGCCAUGUCUUUUGUGAGCCCCCAUAAUUCUUUUGUUAUAUUGAUGUCGUGGAGUUCAGUAGAUUAGUAAAAGGGUCUUUUGAUUUUGUUGAGUUCAGUAGAUUAGUAAAGGGUCUUUUGAUUUUGUUGGCCAUAUAGGAUUUUACUACUGCUAUGGAAAAAAGAAGGCUAAAGCUGGGAAAGACAACAAUGUCAGGAGCCAACCGAGAUCCAAAAUGCCGAGAAGCAGGGUUUAUUUUCUCUCAUCACCAUAACAAAGGGGAGACUCCAGGGAGAGAGAGGAAAGCUGCGCAAGUGCCCCUGGAAGCGAGGCAGCUCGGCGCCGUCGCGGAAGAGGAGCUACGCUUCCAUGGAGUAGAGCGACGAGGGGCUCCGGCGUCGCUGUAGAGGAGGGAGGAGAUCCGCCGCCACUGCACCUGACAAUUCGACAGGAACCUCUCUGGAUGAUUCUGUCAAUUCUGGUGUUAUGCAUUUUUGAAAGUGUUGUGCAAUGGCAGAAAUUGGCAAGAGGACACCUCAACUUGGUAUGAGGUUCAUAGAUUCGGAUGAGGCUUGGGUGUUUCGGGUAGAAUAUGGUGAGGAAAAGAUGCAAGUUUGAUGGAAAAGCGACUUCACACAUAUUUGUGUGUUCCAAUGAGGGCAUUAGAAGGAAAGCGCAAACUGAUUGUGAGCCAAAGCGCAAACCCUGUAUAUGUACUGAUUUUAUUUUAGCCUAUCUCUGCUCAUGUGUGCAUCUGGUUCACUCUUUGGAUUAAACUAUAGCCAAGUGUACAACUAUACUUGCCUAAUAUAUCCAGUGUUCAGUGUCAAAAUUGUCCAGUUUGAAAAGGUUCCAUUACUUUACUGGCAUUGUUUCUUCUGUAUUCACUAAUCCUGCAAGUGUAGGCUGAGAACUAUACAAUUUGGACAGGUUCCAGUGUUGUGUUGCUACCGUACAUAAUAUGCAAUUUGGACA